rnacentral:rRNA from 2 species
AGAGUUUGAUCAUGGCUCAGAUUGAACGCUGGCGGCAGGCCUAACACAUGCAAGUCGAGCGGUAGCACAGAGAGCUUGCUCUCGGGUGACGAGCGGCGGACGGGUGAGUAAUGUCUGGGAAACUGCCUGAUGGAGGGGGAUAACUACUGGAAACGGUAGCUAAUACCGCAUAAUGUCGCAAGACCAAAGUGGGGGACCUUCGGGCCUCAUGCCAUCAGAUGUGCCCAGAUGGGAUUAGCUAGUAGGUGGGGUAACGGCUCACCUAGGCGACGAUCCCUAGCUGGUCUGAGAGGAUGACCAGCCACACUGGAACUGAGACACGGUCCAGACUCCUACGGGAGGCAGCAGUGGGGAAUAUUGCACAAUGGGCGCAAGCCUGAUGCAGCCAUGCCGCGUGUGUGAAGAAGGCCUUCGGGUUGUAAAGCACUUUCAGCGGGGAGGAAGGCGUUAAGGUUAAUAACCUUGGCGAUUGACGUUACCCGCAGAAGAAGCACCGGCUAACUCCGUGCCAGCAGCCGCGGUAAUACGGAGGGUGCAAGCGUUAAUCGGAAUUACUGGGCGUAAAGCGCACGCAGGCGGUCUGUCAAGUCGGAUGUGAAAUCCCCGGGCUCAACCUGGGAACUGCAUUCGAAACUGGCAGGCUAGAGUCUUGUAGAGGGGGGUAGAAUUCCAGGUGUAGCGGUGAAAUGCGUAGAGAUCUGGAGGAAUACCGGUGGCGAAGGCGGCCCCCUGGACAAAGACUGACGCUCAGGUGCGAAAGCGUGGGGAGCAAACAGGAUUAGAUACCCUGGUAGUCCACGCCGUAAACGAUGUCGAUUUGGAGGUUGUGCCCUUGAGGCGUGGCUUCCGGAGCUAACGCGUUAAAUCGACCGCCUGGGGAGUACGGCCGCAAGGUUAAAACUCAAAUGAAUUGACGGGGGCCCGCACAAGCGGUGGAGCAUGUGGUUUAAUUCGAUGCAACGCGAAGAACCUUACCUGGUCUUGACAUCCACAGAACUUAGCAGAGAUGCUUUGGUGCCUUCGGGAACUGUGAGACAGGUGCUGCAUG